rnacentral:rRNA from 1 species
GAUUAAGUGUCGUAAGGGCAUUUGGUGGAUGCCUUGGCAUGCACAGGCGAAGAAGGACGUGAUACGCUGCGAAAAGCCGUGGGGAGCUGCGAAUAAGCUUUGAUCCAUGGAUAUCCGAAUGGGGAAACCCACCUUAAAUGCUUGGAGAAUCCAAACUGAUCCAAAAGAUCGGCUUGGGUUUCCAAGCAUUGUAAUAAGGUAUCUAACCUUCGAAUACAUAGGGGUUAGAAGCGAACGCAGGGAACUGAAACAUCUAAGUACCUGUAGGAAAGGACAUCAACCGAGACUCCGCAAGUAGUGGCGAGCGAACGCGGACCAGGCCAGUGGCAAUGAGGAAUAAAGCUGAACAGGUUGGAAAGCCUGGCUAGAGUGGGUGAUAGCCCCGUAAGCGUAGAACACU